rnacentral:rRNA from 1 species
AUUGAACGCUGGCGGCAGGCCUAACACAUGCAAGUCGAACGAGUGGCGGACGUGUGAGUAAUGUCUGGGAAACUGCCAGAUGGAGGGGGAUAACUACUGGAAACGGUAGCUAAUACCGCAUACCAUCGGAUGUGCCCAGAUGGGAUUAGCUAGUAGGUGGGGUAACGGCUAACCAGGGCGACGAUCCCUAGCUGGUCUGAGAGGAGGACCAGCAACAGUGGAACUGGGACACGGUCCAGACUCCUACGGGAGGCAGCAGUGGGGAAUAUUGCACAAUGGGCGAAAGCCUUAUUCAGCCAUGCCGCGUGUAUGAAGAAGGUCUUCGGGUUGUAAAGUACUUUCAGCUGGGAGGCGUUACUCGCAGAAGAAGCACCGGCUAACUCCGUGCCAGCAGCCGCGGUAAUAC